rnacentral:lncRNA from 1 species
GUAGGCGUCUGUGCUCUUGUUGUGCAUCUAUUCUUCCCUCACAACUGCUGCUCUCCCUAAAUUUCGCAAUCAAAAUGAAUUCUUGGUGGAAAUCGGAAGGGGGAGAAAGAUGGGAGAAAAAGACCGCAUCUUUUUUGGCUGCUUGCUCUGCUUCGGAUGCUAUUGCUCAUGCUCGUGGGGAGGGAGCAGAGGACGAGCAAUAAUAGUGGCAUGAUUGAGAAAGAACUGCUAAUGGCUGAUGCUGAUGGCGUUCCCCUCUCCCCUUCUCCCGCGCUCCCUCCUCUCCUCACUCGAGCACCUACUUUUUCAUUCCUUGUGCUGAUGUUUCUCGUGUGUCGCUCUCCUUUUCUCUACGCCAACUAUGGAUGGAUUCGAUGAUUACCUCACCCGAGUAAAAGUUUGGUGGUGACCUAGACAAAAGGCGGCAUCUUGCUCUUGCAUGCAACAGAUUCUCGCCAUCCUUCUGUUUCUUCUCUGGUAAAGUGGUAAUGGAUUACCAU